GGAUAAUCUCGGGAAACUGACAAUAAACCGCGAUAGGCCAAGAUUUCUGGAAUGAUUCUUGGUCAAAAUCUAUAUGGCCUCUGGAUUGGACUGCGGCCGAUCAGGCUGUUGGUGAGGUAAUGGCCCACCAAACCUAUAACCGGUACGGGCUCUGAGAGGAGAAGCCCGGAGAUGGGCACUGAGACAAGGGCCCAGGCCCUAUGGGGCGCACCAGGCGCGAAACCUUUGCAAUAGGGGAAAGCCUGACAAGGUUACUCUGAGUGAUUUCCGCUAAGGGGAUCUUUUGACACCUCUAAAAAUGGUGUAAAAUAAGGGGUGGGCAAGUCUGGUGUCAGCCGCCGCGGUAAUACCAGCACCCCGAGUGGUCGGGACGAUUAUUGGGCCUAAAGCAUCCGUAGCCGGUUUUACAAGUCUUCCGAUAAAUCCAGCCGCUCAACGGAAUGGGCUGCGGAGGAUAUUGUAGAACUAGGAGGCGGGAGAGGCAAGCGGUACUUAGUGGGUAGGGGUAAAAUCCACUGAUCCCAUUGAAGA
rnacentral:rRNA from 1 species